AUUGAACGCUGGCGGCAGGCCUAACACAUGCAAGUCGAGCGAGCGGCGGACGGGUGAGGAAUGGCUGGGAAACUGCCUGAUGGAGGGGGAUAACUACUGGGAACGGUAGCGAAUACCGCAUCCCAGCAGCGUUGCGCAGAUGGGAUUAGCUGGUAGGUGGGGUAACGGCCCACCUGGGCGACGAUCCCUAGCUGGUCUGAGAGGAUGACCAGCCACACUGGAACUGAGACACGGUCCAGACUCCUACGGGAGGCAGCAGUGGGGAAUAUUGGACAAUGGGCGCAAGCCUGAUGCAGCCAGGCCGCGUGUGUGAAGAAGGCCUUCGGAUUGUAAAGCACUUUCAGCGGGGAGGCGUUACCCGCAGAAGAAGCACCGGCUAACUCCGUGCCAGCAGCCGCGGUAAUAC
rnacentral:rRNA from 1 species